CUGGUUCUUCACAAGUUAAUCAACAACUGGAAGAUGGAUCGAAAACUUCUCAUCGUUCUUCUCAUCGCGCUCAUCUGCUUCGCUGAGCAGGGAGAAAGUUGGUGGCUCAGCCGCCGUCGUAGUAGUCUCUUUUACUGGCGUCGUCGUCGUUAUGACCAACAAAGUGCCAAGGACAUGAACGAAGAAGAUGAACCAGCUGAGACCGAAGCAAUAAGCGACAUGCUGGCUAAAGAAGAUAUGCCGGAAAUGUAGAUGAAAGAAUUGUAGCUUCGGUGACUCAAAGAAAUGUGUUUGCUGAAACUAAUCUUUCUCGCUUUUGAGCAAUAAAAACAAAUUAAAUGCAAAUG